UGGGGAAUAUUGCACAUUGGAGGGAACUCUGAUGCAGCGAUGCCGCGUGAACGAAGAAGGCUUUCGGGUCGUAAAGUUCUUUUAUAUGGGAAGAUAAUGUCGGUACCCUAAGAAAAAGACCCGGCUAACUCCGUGUCAGCAGCCGCGGUAAUACGGAGGGGGCUAGCGUUGUCCGGAAUCACUGGGCGUAAAGGGUUCGCAGGCGGAAAUGGAAGUCAGGUGUAAAAGGCAGUAGCUUAACUACUGUAAGCAUUUGAAACUGCAUAUCUUGGGAAGAGGAGAGGUAAGUGGAAUUUUUAGUGGAGCGGGGAAAUGCGUAGAUAUUCAAAAGAAAACCGGUGGCGAAGGCGACUUACUGUGCUCAUUCUGCCGCAGAAGAACGAAAGAGUGGGUAGCAAACAGG
rnacentral:rRNA from 1 species